GCAUUAGUGGUGUAGUGGUAGCACGCGCAUCUUUGCAUGGAUGAAGAGCAGGUUCAACUCCCGCUUGAGGUU